rnacentral:rRNA from 1 species
UACGGAGGGUGCAAGCGUUAUCCGGAUUCACUGGGUUUAAAGGGUGCGUAGGCGGACAGGUAAGUCAGUGGUGAAAUCUCUGGGCUUAACCCAGAAACUGCCGUUGAUACUAUUUGUCUUGAAUAUCCUGGAGGUAGGCGGAAUAUGUCAUGUAGCGGUGAAAUGCUUAGAUAUGACAUAGAACACCGAUAGCGAAGGCGGCGACCUGGGUAGAUACUGACGCUGAGGUGCGAAAGCGUGGGGAGCAAACAGG